rnacentral:piRNA from 1 species
UGCAAGGGUGCGCCUGGACCUGUUGGACC